UACGGAGGGGGCUAGCGUUGUUCGGAAUUACUGGGCGUAAAGCGCACGUAGGCGGACGCUUAAGUCAGGGGUGAAAUCCCGGGGCUCAACCCCGGAACUGCCUUUGAUACUGGGUGUCUGGAGGUCGAGAGAGGUGAGUGGAAUUCCGAGUGUAGAGGUGAAAUUCGUAGAUAUUCGGAGGAACACCAGUGGCGAAGGCGGCUCACUGGCUCGAUACUGACGCUGAGGCGCGAAAGCCAGGGGAGCAAACGGG
rnacentral:rRNA from 1 species